rnacentral:rRNA from 1 species
UACGUAGGGCGCAAGCGUUGUCCGGAAUUAUUGGGCGUAAAGAGCUCGUAGGCGGCUUGUCACGUCGGGUGUGAAAGCCCGGGGCUUAACCCCGGGUCUGCAUUCGAUACGGGCUAGCUAGAGUGUGGUAGGGGAGAUCGGAAUUCCUGGUGUAGCGGUGAAAUGCGCAGAUAUCAGGAGGAACACCGGUGGCGAAGGCGGCUCACUGGCCCGGUACUGACGCUGAAAUACGAAAGCGUGGGGAGCAAACAGG